rnacentral:rRNA from 1 species
UGACGAGGGGGGCAAAUGUUGUUCGGAAUCACUGGGCGUAAAGGGAGCGUAGGCGGGUUUCUAAGUCCAGGUGUUUAAUCCCGGGGCCCAACCCCGGACAGGCACUUGAAACUGGGAAUCUUGAAUAGGUGGAGAGGUCAGUGGAAUUGGGGGUGUAGCGGUGGAAUGCGUAGAGAUCCCCAAGAACACCAGUUGCGAAGGCGGCUGACUGGACACAUAUUGACGGCUGAGGCUCGAAAGCAUGGGGAGCAAACAGGG